GACGAACGCUGGCGGCGUGCCUAAUACAUGCAAGUAGGACGCAGUUGCGAACGGGUGAGUAACGCGUAGGUAACUACCUAUUAGAGGGGGGUAACUAUUGGAAACGAUAGCUAAUACCGCAUACUAGUAGAUGGACCUGCGUUGUAUUAGCUAGUAGGUAGGGUAAUGGCCUACCUAGGCAACGAUACAUAGCCGAGCUGAGGGGGGGGUCGGGCAAACUGGGACUUGGACAAGGCUCAGACUCCUACGGGAGGCAGCCGUAGGGAAUCUUCGGAAAUGGGGGGCACCCUGACCGAGCAACGCCGCGGGAGUGGAGGAGGUUUUCGGAGCGUAAAGCUAUGUUGUGAAGGAAGCGGUACUUAACCAGAAAGGGACGGCUAACUACGUGCCAGCAGCCGCGGUAAUAC
rnacentral:rRNA from 1 species